AUACGUAGGGGGCAAGCGUUAUCCGGAUUUACUGGGUGUAAAGGGAGCGUAGACGGCUUUGCAAGUCUGAUGUGAAAGGCAGGGGCUCAACCCCUGGACUGCAUUGGAAACUGUGAGGCUCGAGUGCCGGAGGGGUAAGCGGAAUUCCUAGUGUAGCGGUGAAAUGUGUAGAUAUUAGGAGGAACACCAGUGGCGAAGGCGGCCUACUGGGCUUUAACUGACGCUGAGGCUCGAAAGUGUGGGGAGC
rnacentral:rRNA from 1 species